GAUGAACGCUGGCGGCGUGCCUAAUACAUGCCAGUCGAGCGAACAGACGAGGAGCUUGCUCCUCUGACGUUAGCGGCGGACGGGUGAGUAACACGUGGAUAACCUACCUAUAAGACUGGGAUAACUUCGGGAAACCGUAGCUAAUACCGGAUAAUAUAUUGAACCGCAGGGUUCAAUAGUGAAAUACGGUUUUGCUGUCACUUAUAGAUGGAUCCGCGCCGCAUUAGCUAGUUGGUAAGGUAACGGCUUACCAAGGCAACGAUGCGUAGCCGACCUGAGAGGGUGAUCGGCCACACUGGAACUGAGACACGGUUCAGACUCCUACGGGAGGCAGCAGUAGGGAAUCUUCCGCAAUGGGCGAAAGCCUGACGGAGCAACGCCGCGUGAGUGAUGAAGGUCUUCGGAUCGUAAAACUCUGUUAUUAGGGAAGAACAAAUGUGUAAGUAACUAUGCACGUCUUGACGGUACCUAAUCAGAAAGCCACGGCUAACUACGUG
rnacentral:rRNA from 1 species